rnacentral:rRNA from 1 species
UACGAGGGGGGCGAGCGUUGUUCGGAAUUACUGGGCGUAAAGGGCGCGUAGGCGGCCGAGCAAGUUAGAUGUGAAAGUCCUGGGCUUAACCUGGGGACUGCAUUUGAUACUGCUUGGCUUGAAUUCGGGAGAGGAUAGCGGAACUCCCAGUGUAGAGGUGAAAUUCGUAGAUAUUGGGAAGAACACCGGUGGCGAAGGCGGCUAUCUGGACCGAUACUGACGCUGAGGAGCGAAAGCCAGGGGAGCAAACGGG